AUUGAACGCUGGCGGCAUGCUUUACACAUGCAAGUCGAACGGCAGCGCGGGCUUCGGCCUGGCGGCGAGUGGCGAACGGGUGAGUAAUACAUCGGAACGUGCCCAGUAGUGGGGGAUAGCUCGGCGAAAGCCGGAUUAAUACCGCAUACGACCUGAGGGUGAAAGCGGGGGAGCUUCGGACCUCGCGCUAUUGGGGCGGCCGAUGGCGGGUUAGCUAGUUGGUGGGGUAAAGGCCUACCAAGGCGACGAUCGGUAGCUGGUCUGAGAGGACGACCAGCCACACUGGGACUGAGACACGGCCCAGACUCCUACGGGAGGCAGCAGUGGGGAAUUUUGGACAAUGGGCGAAAGCCUGAUCCAGCAAUGCCGCGUGUGUGAUGAAGGCCUUCGGGUUGUAAAGCACUUUUGGCGGGAACGAAAAGGACUGUGCCAAUACCACGGUUCGAUGACGGUACCCGAAGAAUAAGCACCGGCUAACUACGUG
rnacentral:rRNA from 1 species